rnacentral:lncRNA from 1 species
CCCUGUUUCAACCUGCAGAGUACAAUUAAACUGGUUUCAAUUUGGUGGAUUUAUUUAGCUGAAUGGAACAUAUCUUGCCAUGAAAUAGAAACAUCCACCCAGGAGCUCAGUGACUGGUAGAAGUUGUUGAAGCUUCCUCUUACAAAAGAAUUCUGACCUAACAGAUCCACCUAGAAGAAGUGUUAGGUAACAAUCACAUUACCAUGCUGACCAACCACAAUCCCAGAUGAGAAGGAGAAAUGAGAAAUGAAUUGCACUUUCCUCCCUCCUGCCUGAUUCCGCCAGUAUGGGGCGCUCUGACCAGAGCAGCAGCAGUGGUAGUAGCCUUCAGCAUGGCAUGGGACCCAAGAUCCAGCAGCCGCUGUACACUGGUGUGGGGUGAGGAGCAGCCAAACUGUUCAGUGGAGUUGACAAGAACAUAUGCAUUUUUUUCCAAGUCCACAGCAACUUUACACCUGUGGUCAUGCAGGCUUUGCCAUGGUUUCGAGGUGAAAGUGUUUUUUUUCUCUGACUAAGCAAGGUGCUUAAGAAGGGUAUCAGUGACCAGCUUUGGUAUUCAGCUGUUUCUGUUGCACAGCUGUCUGAAAAGCAGAGGAGCAAUAAAAAUACGUCGUGCCUGCA